GCUCCCCAGUGUGCCAGCAACGCCGGUGCCAGGCUAAUUUCUUAAGACAGCCUGUAAAGAAGCCCUCCUGCCUGCCCCGCUCUGGGGUUUGACUGGUGGCACAGCCAUCCUUCCCUCAGAGCCACAGAGAAAGCAAAACAGUAACAGCCGGAGAGUUUAUUCCUUCAGGAACUGCUCAGAGAUUUCCUGGAAGCUGCAACACCACCAGCCAUCCCUGGCUGGCUUCCAGGAUGGGAUGAAGGCAAACCAAGCCAGACACUCUUGCGGCAGGUUAGGAUGAAUCCAGACCCGAUUCUGAGCCCUGUGCUGCCUGCAGGAGCAUCUCCCAUCCGCAGAACCACCACGGCUUUCCCGACAAGAGCAACACGACAUCAAGGUUUUUCCACUGUGCCUAAUAAUCGUAACAUCUCACUCGCCAUUUGGCUCGUCAGUGGGGGUUCCUGA